rnacentral:tRNA from 1 species
CCCUGUGGCUCAGUUGGUAGAGCAUGGUGUUUGCAACGCCAGCAUGGUGUGUGCAACACCAGGGUUGUGGGUUCGAUUCCCACACGGGGC